UACGUAGGGGGCAAGCGUUGUCCGGAUUUAUUGGGCGUAAAGAGCGUGUAGGCGGCCUGAAAGGUCAGCUGUGAAAAACUCGAGGCUUAACCUCGAGACGUCGGUUGAAAACCAUCUGGCUAGAGUCCGGAAGAGGAGUGUGGAAUUCCCGGUGUAGCGGUGAAAUGCGCAGAUAUCGGGAAAGAACACCCGUGGCGAAGGCGGCACUCUGGGACGGUACUGACGCUGAGACGCGAAAGCGUGGGGAGCAAACAGG
rnacentral:rRNA from 1 species